rnacentral:snoRNA from 1 species
CCCCUUCGGAUGCCUUGUCCCCCAGAUAGAAGUAUUCAUCUGAGUGGCUCAAAAAGAAGGAAAAGUAAAACUGAAGUGGACUUGUACUCUUUAAUACCUUACAGACUCAUUUCAAACAUAG